GACGAACGCUGGCGGCGUGCUUAACACAUGCAAGUCGAACGGAAAGGCCCUGCUUUUGUGGGGUGCUCGAGUGGCGAACGGGUGAGUAACACGUGAGUAACCUGCCCUUGACUUUGGGAUAACUUCAGGAAACUGGGGCUAAUACCGGAUAGGAGCUCCUGCUGCAUGGUGGGGGUUGGAAAGUUUCGGCGGUUGGGGAUGGACUCUCGGCUUAUCAGCUUGUUGGUGGGGUAGUGGCUUACCAAGGCUUUGACGGGUAGCCGGCCUGAGAGGGUGACCGGCCACAUUGGGACUGAGAUACGGCCCAGACUCCUACGGGAGGCAGCAGUGGGGAAUAUUGCACAAUGGGCGGAAGCAUGAUGCAGCAACGCCGCGUGCGGGAUGACGGCCUUCGGGUUGUAAACCGCUUUCGCCUGUGACGAAGCGUGAGUGACGGUAAUGGGUAAAGAAGCACCGGCUAACUACGUG
rnacentral:rRNA from 1 species